rnacentral:rRNA from 1 species
AACGCGAAGAACCUUACCACCUUUUGACAUGCCCGGACCACCAGAGAGAUCUGGCUUUCCCUUCGGGGACUGGGACACAGGUGCUGCAUGGCUGUCGUCAGCUCGUGUCGUGAGAUGUUGGGUUAAGUCCCGCAACGAGCGCAACCCUCGCGAUUAGUUGCCAUCAGGUUUGGCUGGGCACUCUAAUCGUACUGCCGGAGUUAAUCCGGAGGAAGGCGGGGAUGACGUCAAGUCCUCAUGGCCCUUACAAGGUGGGCUACACACGUGCUACAAUGGCGACUACAGAGGGUUGCAAUCCCGCGAGGGGGAGCCAAUCCCUAAAAGUCGUCUCAGUUCGGAUUGUUCUCUGCAACUCGAGAGCAUGAAGUUGGAAUCGCUAGUAAUCGCGGAUCAGAAUGCCGUGGUGAAUACGUUCCCGGGCCUUGUACACACCG